rnacentral:rRNA from 1 species
AAUCUGGGGUCCCCGACCUCCGAGUUGUAAUUUGGAGAGGCAUCUUCGGGGGGGAGCGCCGGCCCAUGUUCCUUGGGACAGGACGUCACAGAGGGUGAGAAUCCCGUGCCUGGCCGGCUGCCUCCUCCCGGGUGGAGGGCCUUCGACGAGUCGAGUUGUUUGGGAAUGCAGCUCCAAGUGGGUGGUAAAUUUCAUCUAAAGCUAAAUACCGGCGGGAGACCGAUAGCGCACAAGUAGAGUGAUCGAAAGAUGAAAAGCACUUUGAAAAUAGAGUCAAAAAGUACGUGAAAUUGUUGAAAGGGAAGCGCUUGAGACCAGACUCGGGCCUGGGCAAACAUCGCGCCCCUCGGGGCCGUGCAAUUGCCCGGGCCUGGGCCAGCAUCAGUUGGCGUGGCGGGACAAAGGCGCGGGGAAUGUGGCUCCCCUCGGGGAGUGUUAUUAGGCCCGCGCUCAAUGCCGCCGACGCCGACUGAGGACCGCGCCUCGGCUAGGAUGCUGGCUUAAUGGCCUUCAGCGACCCGUCUUGAAACACGGACCAAGGAGUCUAACAUCUAUGCGAGUGUUUGGGCGACAAACCCUUGCGCGGAAUGAAAGUGAGCGGAGGUGGGAACCCCCCCGCGGGGCGCACCAUCGACCGAUCCUGAUGUCUUCGGAUGGAUUUGAG